rnacentral:rRNA from 1 species
UACGAAGGGGGGCUAGCGUUGCUCGGAUUGACUGGGCGUAAAGGGCGCGUAGGCGGUUCGUACAGUCAGACGUGAAAUCCUGGGCUCAACCUGGGGGCUGCGUUUGAUACGUGCGGGCUUGAGUGCGGAAGAGGGUCGUGGAAUUCCCAGUGUAGAGGUGAAAUUCGUAGAUAUUGGGAAGAACACCGGUGGCGAAGGCGGCGACCUGGUCCGAUACUGACGCUGAGGCGCGAAAGCGUGGGGAGCAAACAGG